GGCUGGUCCAAAGAGUGGAUAACUGAAUUGAUUGUUCACAGUCAGUUAUAGACUGAAUUCCUUGUUUUACUCCUUCUCCCAUUCUCACUACUGCACUUGACUAGUCUUAA
ensembl:Y_RNA Y_RNA Y RNA